rnacentral:rRNA from 1 species
AUACGGAGGGUGCGAGCGUUGUUCGGAAUUACUGGGCGUAAAGGGCGCGUAGGCGGUUGUGAUAGUCAGGUGUGAAAUCCUUCGGCUUAACCGGAGAACUGCAUCUGAAACUUCAUAACUAGAGUACAGGAGAGGGAAACGGAAUUCCCGGUGUAGAGGUGAAAUUCGUAGAUAUCGGGAGGAACACCAGUGGCGAAGGCGGUUUCCUGGCCUGAUACUGACGCUGAGGCGCGAAAGCGUGGGGAGCAAACAGGAUUAGAUACCCUGGUAGUCCACGCGGUAAACGGUGAACACUAGGUGUGGGAGGUGUAAUACCUUCUGUGCCGAAGCUAACGCGUUAAGUGUUCCGCCUGGGAAGUACGGCCGCAAGGUUGAA